UUGGACUGGCCAAAAAGCUCAUCUGGCUUUUCCGUAACAGCACAUGGAAAAACCCGAACGAACUUUUUGGCCAGCCCA
rnacentral:miRNA from 1 species